rnacentral:rRNA from 1 species
GAUCCUGACUCAGGAUGAACGCUAGCGGCAGGCCUAACACAUGCAAGUCGAGGGGCAGCGGGAAUUGAGCUUGCUCAAUUUGCCGGCGACCUGCGCACGGGUGCGUAACGCGUAUGUAACCUACCCUGAACUGGGGAAUAACACUGAGAAAAGGUCGGUACUAAUACCCCAUAAUACACUGGAAGGCAUCUUUUGGUGUUGAAAGCUCCGGCGGUUCAAGAUGGACAUGCGUUGUAUUAG